rnacentral:lncRNA from 1 species
GAGACAUGAGAGCAUGUAACAUGAGUUUCCUUCGCUUUAUAAGCACAUUAUUAAUACAAGGAAAACUGCAACACACCGACGAACUUCUGUGAAUCCAACCUAGCCUUCUGCUUACACUGUAAUAGAUGCUGACCGUGACUCCUCAUGGUGCUGACUCUCCACUGUGGAUCCCCCCUCAGCCUACCUGCAUGAGGAUCCCUGCUCCUCCUCAUGUGCUGAGCAGACAAGGCAGAGGCUUCAGUGUGUGAGAGAGAGUGUGUGAAGAGGAGGAAAAAGCGGUAGAAGAAGAGAGGUAGUCUGUCUGUGGUCGGAGUGUUGUUUAUGUUUGUAUGUUUC